rnacentral:rRNA from 1 species
UACGUAGGGUGCAAGCGUUAAUCGGAAUUACUGGGCGUAAAGCGUGCGCAGGCGGUUUUGUAAGUCUGUCGUGAAAGCCCCGGGCUCAACCUGGGAGUUGCGAUGGAGACUGCAAGGCUUGAAUCUGGCAGAGGGGGGUAGAAUUCCACGUGUAGCAGUGAAAUGCGUAGAGAUGUGGAGGAACACCGAUGGCGAAGGCAGCCCCCUGGGUCAAGAUUGACGCUCAUGCACGAAAGCGUGGGGAGAAAACAGG